rnacentral:sRNA from 1 species
CCUCACCGGCAGCUGCUGCGUGCAUCCUCGCAGCACGCCUUUCCACAAUGCGCCGGAUAUUGGGGAUAUAAUCAAUAACACAAUGGCUGAGCUACUCCGGGGACGUUUUCCUCUGCUGUUGUCUUCGUCAGCCAAUUUGCGCUGUCCCUUCUCCGCCCCCUGCUGUGUAUCCCAUUUUCGGCGCCGACGACGGCUCCAGAGUUCUGCAGCGGCCCUUGGUAUACAGAACAGUCCGACAGCUCAUACGCUACCAUCACCAUCACCUUCACCGUCGCCUUUGCCCUCGCCAUCGCCGUCACCACUUCCAUGUAUUCCUGACUCGAUUCCUGCCUCUCGCGCUUCGAGGUCAUCCGCGUUGGAGCACGCGAAACCCUUCUCCGACUUCCUGACAGACACCUUCAACAGGCAACACGACUACCUCCGCAUCAGCGUUACGGAGCGUUGCAACCUGCGAUGUCUCUAUUGCAUGCCCGAGGAGGGAGUUGAGCUUUCCCCAACUGUCAAGAUCCUCACAACUCCGGAAAUCGUCUAUUUGUCCUCCAUUUUCGUCUCUCAAGGCGUCACUAAAAUACGCCUUACCGGUGGCGAACCGACCGUCCGCAAGGAUAUCGUACCUAUGAUGCAACAGAUAGGGAGCCUACGUCGUGAUGGACUACGCGAAUUGUGUUUGACCACUAAUGGUAUUUCACUGCAUCGAAAACUGGAUAGCAUGGUAGAGGCUGGGUUGACGGGUAUCAACCUAAGUCUGGACACGUUGGACCCGUUUCAGUUUCAACUCAUGACCCGGCGUAAUGGGCUCGAAGCUGUGAUGAAGAGUAUCGCCCGUGUCCUUGAAAUGAAUAAGCAAGGGGCGGGGAUAAAACUGAAGAUUAACUGCGUGGUUAUGCGCGGGAUGAAUGAUAGGGAGAUUCUCCGCUUUGUCGAGCUCGGACGCGAGAAGCCACUUGAAGUCAGGUUCAUCGAGUACAUGCCGUUCGACGGGAAUAAGUGGAACCAGGCGAAAAUGCUACCGUACAAGGAAAUGCUUACGAUCAUUCGGGAGAAAUACCCCAACCUAGAGAAAGUCGCUGAUCACAAGAAUGACACGAGCAAGACAUAUCGUGUGCCAGGAUUCGAAGGACGUGUGGGUUUCAUCACAAGCAUGACGCACAACUUCUGCGGAACUUGUAAUCGUUUGCGCAUCACCAGCGAUGGAAACCUCAAAGUGUGUUUGUUCGGGAAUGCAGAGGUAUCGUUGCGGGACAUGAUUCGAAAGGAAAACGAUGGGCAACCGAUCGAUGAGGAAGCCAUGAAAGCGCUCGGCCUGUUGGAGUCUGCCAGAAGGGCUGGUCAGGUCGAAUAUGGAGGCCUCGUCAAUGAGCGCGAAAGAGAGCUGCUCAAUAUCAUUGGCAUGGCUGUCAAGCGGAAGAAGGCAAAACAUGCUGGCAUGGGAGAGUUGAAGAAUAUGAAGAAUAGACCUAUGAUUUUGAUUGAUGAACAUGGUAUUGCAGUCAGUGAGACUUCCAGACAAUCCCUAGGGACCGCGCGCUUAAAGGGCAAUACCCAGGCGCAUCUCGGUAAAACAUGCUCGAGUCCGCUUUGGUCUGCGAUUCCCACCUAUCUACUCCACAACACUUCCCUUGCACGACUGCAUUUCCGCCCCUUUUCAACGAAAUGCUCUGACAACACAGGCACACCACCACCACCACCAACCACACAAGUACCAAAAGCCCACUCGUCCACCAAACCCUCCAUCCCUGAUCUCCCAGUGGCCUCUGACCCGUCCCUGCCGCACCUCACCUCUUCCCAAACCGUCCACAUGACCUCCAUCUCACAUAAAGCUGAGACCACCCGCGUUGCCACUGCCAUGUGCCGCGUCACCUUCUCCAAUCCAAAACCGUACUCCCUCCUCACGACGGCGGAGGGCUAUACGAAGAAAGGCGACGUGCUUUCCGUCGCACGCAUUGCAGGGAUCAUGGCCGCGAAGCGGGCGGCAGAUUUUAUUCCGCUGGCUCACCCAGGGCUGGGGAUUACGGGAGUAGAGGUUGAUAUUCAGGCAUGCGCGCCGGAGGAUGCCUCUGGACAUCCAAUGUCUGACGGGGAGGUUUUGUCCAUGAAUAGCAGCAGCAGGUCAGCGCCAGCUGCUGCGAUGACGACAGAGGAGUUGAUAACCUCCGUCGCCCACCCGUACGGCAGCGUCGUGAUUACCGCGACGGUAUCUUGUCAUGGACGGACGGGCGUAGAGAUGGAGGCGAUGACUGCGGUGAUGGGGACAGCGUUGACAGUGUAUGAUAUGUGCAAGGCGGUGGAUAAGGGGAUGGUGGUGGGCGAGGCGAGAGUGGUG